rnacentral:rRNA from 1 species
AUGACUCUGACCGACAUGACAUCACCAGAGAGUAGCAGCGGGCGAUGUUUGUCACCGUCACCAUGGCCGCCGCUCCAGGAAGCCGGCUCGAGCCCCUACAUGCCGUCGCUCUGCUCGCCGUCCGGCAGCCCUGCCGUCAAGCGCUAUGGCGACAGGUUCAUCCCGAACAGGUCCGCGAUGGACAUGGACAUGGCGCACUACCUUCUGACGGAGCCGAGGAAGGACAAGGAGAACGCGGCGACGCCAUCGCCGGCCAAGGAGGCGUACCGGAGGCUGCUACCUAAGAAGCUGUUUAACAACCACACCAGGAUCCUCGCUUUCCAGAACAGGCUGCCUGUGCCUGCCAACAACUUCCUCGCAGAGCUGCGUGCUGAUGCGGCUUCCAUCCAGGACAAACCGGCGAAGCAGCGUCGAUACAUACCCCAGUCUCCAGAGAGGAUGCUGGAUGCGCCAGGCCUCGUUGACAAUUACUACCUCAACCUGCUGGACUGGGGAAGCGCCAAUGUGCUGUCGAUUGCACUGGGCAACACGGUAUACCUUUGGGACGCCUCAAGUGGCUCGACAUCUGAGCUCGUUACCGUUGAGGAGGAUGACGGCCCUGUCACUAGUGUUAGCUGGGCUCCUGAUGGGUCGCAUCUUGGGCGUGACACCUCGACUCCUCAGCUGUCCAGCUCUGGGAUUCCAGCUCUAACCGACUGCGGAGAACACUGCAAGGUGUGCAUGAGUCGAGAGUUGGUUCACUGGCAUGGAAUAACAACAUCCUGA